rnacentral:rRNA from 1 species
UACGUAGGGGGCGAGCGUUGUCCGGAUUCAUUGGGCGUAAAGCGCGCGUAGGCGGCUUCGCAAGUCGGCCGUGAAAUCUCCGGGCUCAACUCGGAGGGGUCGGGCGAGACUGCGAGGCUCGAGGUGGGCAGAGGGCAGUGGAAUUCCGGGUGUAGUGGUGGAAUGCGUAGAGAUCCGGAGGAACACCAGUGGCGAAGGCGGCUGCCUGGGCCUGGCCUGACGCUGAGGCGCGAAGGCGUGGGGAGCGAACGGG